GUAGUGGAAACUAGUUUCAUUCUCUCAAUACUACAUCUCUAUAUCAAAGUUUAGAAUGCAGCGAGUAGUUUCAGAUUUCAGUAAGAGGGCCUCUGGACUCAACAAAACAUAAUGCACCUAACCCAAACAUGGUGACUAUAUAUAGUCGCUACCCAAGCUCACUUGAAAGUUUAUAGUGAUGAUGAAAGCUAGACACUUCCCAUCUAUUAAAGCUUAUAUCGAUCAAAUAGUCCCUAUUCAAGUUUGCUUGAAAGUUACUCCAGCCACAUUGUGAGUUUGUAAAUUAAUCUGUGCCCUCUCAAGUGUUUUACGUCGAAAGUGAAAGGAAGGAAACCAUUGUCUGAAUCAAAAUUCCAAACUGACCAAGGCUUUGCAUAAUUUUCUAUUUUUAACAAUCUGAGGCAUAUAAAACACAUGCAAGAGAUAGUUUGUACCAUGAUUUUGCUCUAAAGUCUGAUGAAAUGUAACUAAAGGUUAAUAAUGUAAUGUAAUAUUUUAAUUUGCAAGCUGAAAACAAUGAAUUUUUUUUUUGUCCUCUGGCAUAGUUUAACUGGUAGUUGCACCUACAUCAAAAGAGGAGGUUACAAGUGUGAGUCUUACCUCCACCAAAUUAUCCAAAAAAAAAAAAAAAAACAUCUAAGUACCCAAAACUAAUGUAUUCAUACCAUUACAGGCUAUAGGUGGAAGCCUAGAAACGAUUUCCAAACCUUGGUUAAAUCAAAGGGAUACUCUUUCUCUUGAAUGGGAAAUCCAGCUAACAAACAAAAAGGUAGAUGUUUGACGCAAGUUAUCCAUAUUUACCUACAAUGUCGAUGCUCUUAUGCUAGUGACAAAAUGUGGACAGUGAUAUGAAUCUAUCAUUUAUUUAAAUAAAUUACAUGCAUUUGACCAAGAUUUGCUUCCCACGUUAUCAUUUGGAGUUCAAAUCUUUGGGGAGACCGCAAGAAAAUAAUUUCUUGUGAAUGCGAGUCUGAGUGUGGAUGACCACCUUAAGAUCCAACGGAGGAGAAGCUAAGUCUCAGUGCACAAAGAAGUCCCAAGGAUACCGUUACUGCUAAAACCA